AGCCGGCAGCGAGCUGAGCUGAGUGUCGGCCUCUGCUCCCAGUUCUCCCAGCUCCCAGGGUGGCACGCGGCCACUUCAACUGGCCCGUCUUCAGGUUCCCGGGGCCCGUGGCCACCAGGAUGCUAUGGGCGCUGCCCAUGAAUGACAACAAGCCCUGAAAGCUCGGGGGGCGUCACGCAGUCCCACAAGCCUGCAUGCCCCACAGCCGAGAUGGGCUCAGCUCCUGGACUUGCCACAGACAGAAAGCAUAACACACACUUGCUGGGGAGAGUCUUUGCCUGAUCGGGGGCUGCUCAGAGCACAGGAAGGUGGCCGGCCAGCUGGGAGCAAGAGAUGCAGAGCACCGUCAAUUACCUGUGGCACACGGAUGACCUGCUGGGUCAGGGGGCCACUGCCAGUGUGUACAAGGCCCGAAACAAGAAAUCCGGGGAGCUGGUUGCUGUGAAGGUCUUCAACACGGCCAGCUACCUGCGACCCCGCGAGGUGCAGGUGAGGGAGUUUGAGGUCCUGCGGAAGCUGAACCAUCAGAACAUCAUCAAGCUCUUUGCGGUGGAGGAGACGGGGGGCAGCCGGCAGAAGGUGCUGGUGAUGGAGUACUGCUCCAGCGGCAGCCUGCUGAGUGUGCUGGAGAGCCCUGAGAACGCCUUUGGGCUGCCCGAGGACGAGUUCCUGGUGGUGCUGCGCUGUGUGGUGGCCGGCAUGAACCACCUGCGGGAGAACGGCAUCGUCCACCGAGACAUCAAGCCCGGGAACAUCAUGCGCCUGGUCGGGGAGGAGGGGCAGAGCAUCUACAAGCUGACGGACUUUGGGGCAGCCCGGGAGCUGGAUGACGACGAGAAGUUCGUCUCGGUCUACGGCACCGAGGAGUACCUGCACCCUGACAUGUAUGAGCGGGCGGUGCUUCACAAGCCCCAACAGAAAGCUUUUGGGGUCGCCGUGGAUCUCUGGAGCAUUGGGGUGACCCUGUACCAUGCGGCCACUGGCAGCCUGCCCUUCGUCCCCUUUGGAGGGCCCCGACGCAACAAGGAGAUCAUGUACCGGAUCACCACGGAGAAGCCAGCCGGGGCCAUCGCAGGCACUCAGAGGCUGGAGAACGGGCCCCUGGAGUGGAGCUACACACUCCCCAUCACCUGUCAGCUGUCCAUGGGGCUGCAGAGCCAGCUGGUGCCCAUCCUGGCCAACAUCCUGGAGGUGGAGCAGGCCAAGUGCUGGGGCUUCGACCAGUUCUUUGCGGAGACCAGUGACAUCCUGCAGCGAGUUGUCGUCCACGUCUUCUCCUUGCCGCAGGCCGUCGUGCACCAUGUCUACAUCCACGCGCACAACACGAUAGCCAUCUUUCUGGAGGCCGUGUACAAGCAGACCAACGUGGCCCCCCAGCACCAGGAGUACCUCUUUGAGGGUCACCUCUGUGUCCUCGAGCCCAGCGUCUCAGCACAGCACAUCGCCCACACGACAGCAAGCAGCCCCCUGACCCUGUUCAGCAUGGUCAGCGAGACCCCCAAGGGGCUGGCCUUCAGGGACCGGUGUAGAAGGCAGAUCUGGGUUCUAAUUCUGCAUACGCCUCUGAAAUGCCAUGUGACUCGGGCUGGUGGCCUGCCCAACCUGCUUCGCAGCGUCCAAAGAUCUGGGAAAGAAACUACAAUGGAAACAGGGAGAUGUGGAUUCAAUGUGGUCUCCACAGUCUGUGCUGCUCUGGACAUCCCCAAGUUUGUCCCCAAAGUGGACCUGCAGUCAGAUUACAACACGGCCAAGGGUGUGUUGGGUGCCGGCUACCAGGCCCUGCGGCUGGCACAGGCCUUGCUGACAGGACAGGAGCUGAUGCUUCGGGGGCUGCACUGGUUCGUGGAGGUACUCCAGGCCACGUGCAGGCGGACGCUGGAGGUCACGAGGAUGGCCCUCCUCUUCCUCAGCAGCAGCCUCGGCACUGAGAGGUUCAGCAACGUGGCUGGGGUGCCUGAGAUCCAGGAACUGAAGAGGGCCGCAGAGCUGAGGUCCAAGCUGCGGACCUUGGCUGAGGUCCUCUCCAGAUGUUCCCAUAACAUCACAGAGACCAAGAUGACCCUGAGCAACCUGAGCUCUGAGCUGAUGAAGAACCGGGAUCAGGUACAUGCGGACAGAAGCAUCCAGCAGAUUCAGUGCUGUUUGGACAAGAUGUAUCUCAUUUACAAACAGUUCAAGAAAUCCAGGAUGAGGCCAGGGCUUGGCUACAACGAGGAGCAGAUUCACAAGCUGGAUAAGGUGAAUUUUAGUCAUUUAGCCAAAAGGCUCCUGCAGGUGUUCCAGGAGGAGCGUGUGCAGAAGUACCAGGCAUCCCUGGUCACGCAUGGCAAGAGAAUGAGUGGAUACUAUCACCCCAUUUCACAGAUGAGGAAACUGAGGCUCAGAGAACAGGUUGCUUCCUUAAUACGACACCGCUAGUAAAUAGCAGACCCAGGACUGGCACAUGGGUAUGACUGCCUCUAAAAUCUAGAUUCUUUCCAUGUCCCAGGUGGUUGUGUUCAGAAGCCCCCUCUCUGGGGAAAACACAAGAUCCCUCUGGGAUGAGGACAAGUGGCCUGGGAAGCAGGGGCAGGCAGAGGCCCUUAUGUAGAACCCCCCUUGCACACUGUCCCUUAUAGGAGUUUUGGCUUCUGCCUCUCAGACAAGCGCCUUCCCCCUUCCCCUCCUGAGACAAGAGGACAGUUUCCCAGGUGCUGCUGGUUCUGUGGCCCACGUGACCUGUGGGCUUAUUAUGGGGCUGAGACUCAGACACUCACCUACCCUUACAUUAAAAUACCGUUUCCAUCUCCCCCAGCCAAGCCACCCCAAAUUCUGACUUAAUUGGUCUGGAGUAGGGCUUGGAUGGCAGUAUUUAAAUGCUCCUUGUGUGAUUCUAAUGUGUAACCAGAGUUGAGGAUCGACCACUGGUCGAACCCCUCCAGGACUUGGUGUAUGUUUUGUGCCGUGGGGCAGUGUUCUUCCUCUCUCCCUCCACUUAGAGAGAGAAGAGAAUUCAUAACAGAGUCUUCACUUUGAUCUGCUCUGGAAAUGGGAACGUGGGCAGUUCCCGUUUUAAGUGUGCCAGUGCAGGCGGUCCCUGCCUCUCCAGAGCCUGAGCCGGGCCCUUGCUCACCCUCGCUGGCUUGUGUGGCCCGGCCUGACACAGGUGUAUUCGCAGCUCCCACUGUGGUUCCGCCAGGACCCUCACUAGCCCCGGUCAGAGUGCUCAUCAGCAUCCUUACCUGGGACAGGUGAGGGCUGAGGGCACAGCUGGAAGGGCAGAGGCAGCGAGGGGGGCCAGUGCCUGGCACCCACCAGCUCCAGCCUCUGCCGCCUGGAAAACCUCUCCUCCGUGUCUGUGUGGUGACCGAACUGCUGGGGGGGCCCCGGUGAGAGUGAGUAGGCCAGGCUCUGACAUUUCUCUGCUCUCUUGAGGGUGGUGCAUGAGACCAGGAACCACCUGCGCCUGGUGGGCUGCUCCGUGGCCGCCUGUAACACAGAAGCCCAGGGAGCCCAGGAGAGCCUCAGCAAGAUCCUUGACUGGCUAUCUCACCAGCUCCUGCAGGACAGAACAAAGGGGGCUCA